ACUCCUACGGGAGGCAGCAGUGGGGAAUAUUGCACAAUGGGGGAAACCCUGAUGCAGCCAUGCCGCGUGUGUGAAGAAGGCCUUCGGGUUGUAAAGCACUUUCAGUAGGGAGGAAGGUAGUGUAGUUAACACCUGCAUUAUUUGUACGUUACCUACAGAAGAAGCACCGGCUAACUCCGUGCCAGCAGCCGCGGUAAGUACGGAGGGUGCGAGCGUUAAUCGGAAUUACUGGGCGUAAAGCGCAUGCAGGCGGCCUGUUAAGUCAGAUGUGAAAGCCCGGGGUCUUAACCUCGGAAUUGCAUUUGAAACUGGCAGGCUAGAGUCUUGUAGAGGGGUUAGAA
rnacentral:rRNA from 1 species